GUUCCUUCUUAAUCUUUUUUCUUAAUUCUCUCUCAUAGUGUUCCUCAUCUCAAUUCUCUUUCUAUGCUCUGUUUUUAUUGUCUUCUUUCAUUAUAGUAUUUCCUUGAGCUCUUGAUUUCACUUGUUUCUUUCUUUAUGCCAUCUCAGAUUUCUGGAUAACUAUUUCUGCAAUUUUCGGCCUUUUCCAUCUCUCCAUCGGUCCCGCUUUCCACCAAAGAGAUUGGGAGGUGGAACCCAAAAAGGAUGUAAAUGGAGGAGUUUGUUUAAAAGUGCCGAUAACCUUCAAUUCAUAAUUUCUCUGGGGAAAAAACAUACUAAAUCCCCCCCCCCCCCCCCAAUUUGUUCCAUUAAAAACCUAGCUCUAAAAUUAUCCAAAUAUUUUUCUUGUGAUUAUAUAUAAAUCCGUCUUUAAUUCAGUUUUAUUUUCAUGAAUUUAAGGUAAAGCUCAAUUAUUUAAUGUUUUUACCCCAUCCGGGAGGAUUGUAUUUUAACGUUUUAGUUAAUGAACUUUCGUCAGAUUUCAUUGAUAUUUUUCUGCUUUCGAGCAGCUACAUUUAUUUGGAGGUUCGUGUUGUUCCUCUGCCUCUUAUCGACAAGUCCUACUGAUCAUUUUUUUUAUCUUCGUCACUAUGCUUUCAGGAAUUGCAAUGUUGGGUUCAAGCUCUCACUCUCCGAGAUAAGAUCUCUUCAAGGAUAGUAUUGUUAGGAUCUGCUUUAACGUGCAUUUUAUGCAAUCCUUCAGCUGUAAUGAAUUUUUUCAAGGUAAGAAGGCUAAGGAGAUGUCUAAAGACUAAGAAAAAGACUAAACACAGCACGAAAGGCGCAUAAUUGUUUGCUGAUAUUUAAAUCGUAUAAAAUAUUUCAAAGAAUGCGACACUUUAGCAUCUAGUCGUUUAAUGAUGCUACUGAUGUAAAGAAUGUGUCGUUUGCCAAUCAUAUAAUAUCCGUGAGUGUUAUAUUUAGCUGAUGCUAAAUUAUGUCUAUCAAUAAUUGUCAUCAAAAUAAUGUUAAAUAACAUAUAACAGUUCAAACUUUCA